GCCGGGAGGUGCGCAAGUUCGCCGCGGCUGCUCAUUGGCGGCCAGCGCCGCUUUCAUCAUUUCUCGGAAAAGUCCAUUUCAUUUUCACUUCCCCACGUCGCGGCGGCGGGAGCAACAAGCGGCUGCUCAUAACUAGAGAUAAGGAAGAAAACACAGCUAACCAUGAGUGAAAAGCCGUCAGACUGAAGGAGGGAAAGAAAUACGGACACCAAGCAACAGAGGGCUGUGUGAGCGUGGACAUAGCUGUUUUCAAAAGAAACUUAGAACACAGUGGUUUACGUGGGUCUGGGCCUGCCUGCCCUACAAAGAGCUACCACGCGCAGCAGUCUGGAGGAGACAAGGAAGAAAGAGGCCUGCUUCCUGAUGUCAAGAAAUCUGCGGUCUGCAUUGGCAGACAGGACCCACAGUGAACAGAUGAUUACCUCAAGACAGAAAUGGUACUUUAAUCCAGAGCCACCCGACAAACCCACGAUGGAGACGUGGGUAAGCAGACAGGCAUUUUGAUUCCCUGUGGGAUCUGCCUGCUCUCCGAGGGGCCCUUCUGGGUCUACCGUCCCAGUGUAGACUGCAGAUGCCUGGAGAGCAGGAACCAAGCAGUCCUGAGCCCUUUCUGUAUAACUCUGCUGCCUAAAUGGUAAGGAGGACUUGCCUGGAGUAUGAAGCUGGGGGGAAGGGGGAGUGAUGCCUGCCCUCCUUAAGGUUCUCUGCUGUCUGUGGAUGAAUCCUCCUACACCGUCUUAAAGAACCAGCAGGGCUUCCUUCCAGGCCGACUGGAUGUGCUCACAGGAAUGAAAUGAGCAACUGGCGGAGUCUAGCCCACUGAGUCCACUUGAAGAAGAGCUGUGUACAUUUCUCUUCGGCCCUCCUCACAAGUCCAUGCCACCUGUUCAGUGGCCUGGGAAAAUGUGGGUACAGUUUUCUCUGGACCUCUUCUGAAGAAUUAUUUACCAGGAGAUAGAUGUCGGUCAUUUUUAUCAACCUGACACUUUCGUUAGUCAAGCACAAAAGUAAACAAUUCCAGGUAGUAAACAAUAAAGCCUAGCGAGGACUCCAAAGAGGAGGCUCAGAAGGCUUCCCACAGGAAGUGGGACUGGAGCUUUACCUUCAAGAAUAGGUUAAAAAUAAAUAGAAUAAUUAAAAAUAGAUUGUGUGUGUGUGUGUGUGUGUGUGUGUGUGUGUGUGUGUGUAGUUAAUAGCCAGCUUUAAAAAGCCUUGACAGAAGCUUUCAGACUUAAAGAUGCCUUCUCAUCCUACAAAGAACACCCAUCUAACAAACCCAUCCAGCCCUAUAGUCCAAGUUCAGUUCUGUGUUUAGGCCAAAGGGAUUUUGUUCAAUUAUAUAUUAAAUACAUUGGUUGAGUUAGGAAACUAAUUUUUUCCAUGAAAAACUGGAGACAGGGUGAAGGGAGAAACACCUAGGUCUAACAUGUGGAAGAAAUCUGUGCAUUUAAUAGGAUCUCUAUGGCAUAUCUUCAUUCUCUAAAACUAUAGAUUGAAAAUUAUUUCCUUGUGGUACUUGAACUGUUUUCUUAGGAGUGAGAGAGAAGAGUUACAGACACCAGACCAGGGCCUGCAGAUGUGGAGGCCCACAUUGGUGUACACAGGCUGAUGCAAUGGCAGUGGUGGACUCUUCAUGGUCACAUUCAGGUUGUACAGAAGAGUAGCCUCAAGUUAUUUGUCAAUUCAUCAUUCCACUCACAAGUCACUUUAAUUACAAGGCAUGUCUAUUCCAUGAUACCAAACAGCUGGUGAAAACUAAAGCAGAAAAUAUCUAAGAUCCAGAUGUUUAGCUUGUGGUCAUGUAGGCAAAACACCUGUGCACUAAACUAGCAUCUUAUCCAGAUGUUUGACAUUAUGUGCCUAUAAUCCUUUCAAUAUACAGUUUAUUUCUCCCUGUCAUUAUAAUGCCUACAUUAAAUAAAAAUUCAGUUUAUCUCUUAAAUUUAGCCUCUAAUUUAACAAAAAUAAAGGAAUUCCAAGAAUCCAAUGUAGGGUGAAUCAAGUUUUUCUGCUGUAAAAACGUGAGAGACUUGGGAUUCAGAAAGGCAGAGUACAGACAUACCCACCCAAUGACCUUCUCUAAAAGUCACCAAGAAACGUCAAGGAGAAGAGGUAACAGACAUGUAUGGCCGUCAUCAGGAAACUAAGAUGUCUGAACCCACAGCACAGGGAGACAGAUUUUAGAAAGAGGAAUAGAAAAGAGCAGGGAAAAAAGACUGAGCAAACAGAAGGCAGGUCAACCCUUAGUGCCAGCAAAGAGGCUUUGAGGGAUCAUCGUGAGAAGUGAGCUAAAGUUCCACAUAGGACCCAGGAAGGCACAGGAAUCAGAAAAACUGGGCAGGCGGCAGCAGGAUUAGAUUACAAGUCUGUGUGAGGGGCCCGUAUCUCCCUCCAGUUUUCCACCACAUCUAGUCCCCAAGCAGUUUCUUGACUUCUCGUCUCCCUCCGGUUUCUGAGGAAGGCAAAGGUGGAGUUCCUUCCAGAGGAAGAGAAUUGAGGAAGUCUGUAUGUCCAACAGUGAGAUCUCCAUCCCCUCCCGCUGCUGAGACCCAGAGCACGAACAUUCAGAGCAAAAUCCCCAGAGAAAAUGCCUGCGAACGAGCGGUAUCAGCUGGCCCCCCGUUUGCCCCAGUCAAGGUCACCAACGGAUGAGCCCAGUGCACGUACACAGACCUUCGGGUCAGAUCUGCUUUUUGGUGUCUUACUCUCAAGACCCUCUAACACAACCAUGGUGAAGAUAAACAACAUAAAGAAUUCACAGGAAACAAAGGUGCUGCAGUAAAGAAAAACCUUGAAACAAAACAAAAAAGAAAUGCUUUAAUAUCAUUAGAGAUGUGAGAGCAGAUAUACGUAUGAAAUAAAAACAAAAUAAUAUGAAAAGGAACCAUUAGAGAAUAAGAAAAAGCUCCUAGAAACUAAAAAUAAUGACAGAUUUUUGAUUCCAUAAAAUAAUUAGAAGAUAUUAGUAAAUCACACAUAAAGCAUAAUAGAAUAAUAGAAAAAUAGACAAUAGGAAAAAAAUAAGAAAAAUGGAUGCUCAAUCCAAAAGACCCAAUAUCAAGUAGAAAUUCCAGAAAAUGAAAACAGAUAAAAAGUGGACAGAAAUUAGUAAAGGCAGAAGAAAACUCCUCAGGGAAUUUUGAGGAAUAUGAUUUUUCAAAAUUUAAAAGGCACCCCAGUGUCUAAUACAAUGUGUGAAUGAAGAUACGAUGUGAAGAUUAUAUCAAGACUGUUCGCAACUAGGAAAUAAAGGGCCAGUUGGGCCAUAACAAGGACUGGACCAAACCUCCUGCAGGAAACAACUAGAAAACUGGACGAAACAUAUGUAAGAGCUUUUGGGGGGCAUUGAGCAAUAGGCAGUAUAGGAAGGCCAUCCUUGAGAAAAGGAAACAAGCCUGUGAGCCCCACCCUUUCUGCUGGAAGCAGUUUCCAUACUGCAGUCACAGUGAUGGGCACCCAAAGGGAAGUGGGAAGGGAGCAAGGAAACACAGAUGAGAGACCAGAGGGGCUGGGCAGCUGGAAGCUGUGUGGCAGAGCUCUCAAAAAGAGGCAGUUACAGAGAGAAGAGCCCCAGAAAUCUGUAUGUUCCCCUUCGUGGUCACUGAGUACCAGACCAGGCAUGGGGAAACCACUACUCCAAACUGCUGGACAAAGAAUGGCAGGGGCAUGGGAAACUAAUUUCCAUUAAAUAAAAAAUAAAUAAGAUUUCCACCAAAGUCUACUUGUUUAAAGACCAAAACUCAAAUAGAAACAAUGGGCAAGUGCCUAAACAGAGAAUUCACAGGAAAAAAAAAA